ensembl:lncRNA
GUGGGACUCUUGUCUUCCUAGAUGGCAGAGAGAUCUGUCUUGCUACAUGACGUUUGCAGUCACUCGAGUGUUUUUCACAACCUGCCUUCUCAGAAAACUGGUUGCAGCCAUUCAUAGUUUCCUUUUUCUGGCCCAUCCAGUAUCUCUCUCACAGCUUCAGAGAGUCAUCUCACAGUUCCUGAGGCGGCGAAGGAUCCGUGUAAAUUUACCGUGAAGGCUCUUAGAAGUGCUAUUCAAGAGGGAGAUUUCCUUUAAAGCUCUCAUUUAAAACCUUCAGAAGACAAAAAAAAAAAGUGCUCUUUCCUCACGAGGCCCAACAUCCAUUUUCCCAUUUCUGCUCACGAUCCUCAAAUGCUCGCCGGUACCUUUUUCAAAAUUGUGAAUUAAGUGACUUAAAUUGUUUGUCUUACUCUACUGUCAGUUAUCGGAUGAAAUCUGAGUGUCCAUCUCACCCAAUUUGUUUUGCGACUCAUACGUAACUAUUACAAAAGGUGCAAACAUUCACUGAUUCUCAGGAAGGCAACACUACAUUAAGAGUCAGGGGGAUGUAAACUUUUGAACAGGAUUAUUUUGUUUAAAGAUCUUAUGUUUUAAUGUAGUACUGCCCAGCAGAAACUACAUAAGAUAUUUACAUGUUUCCCAGAAUACAGUAUAUUAACAAUUUACACUGAUUAUUCUGUUCAAAAUUAUACACCUCCCACCCCCUGACUGUAUCAUGUUACCUUCUUCAACAUCAGUGAAUGUUUACACUGGAAUGAUACCA